UAGUGAGACUCUGACGGUAGC
rnacentral:miRNA from 1 species